UAUUUUGCACAAACGCACAAGUUGCAAUGAUCGUGCUAAAUCAUUUAUUCACCUCUCGAAUGCACAUUGUAAUGCAAAAUUUAUCGCAUGACAAAUAAAAAUAAAUUCAUGAGAAUUAUUGAACAAACUGAAUUCCGUCGAUGUGUAAAAACUUGUAUGAGUAAUUACUUAUUGUUGCGUUUUGCGAUGAGACUGAAAACGACGAGAAUGUUCAAAGAAAACAAAUCCAAUUUAGCGGCUGGAAAGUACAAACACACACACACACACACACACACGUACAGCUGUAGCAAAUAUACGACAUGCCGAGCAAAUAUAACGGUAGAAUCCUGAUUACGUUCAUCAUUUUUGGUUGUGUCGUAAAUUUGUGCGUUGUUUAUUUUAAGUUUAUAGCAGUUACAAUUAAGCAAUCAGAACGACAAAAGAAUUCGAUUCGACGUUCACGCAGUAACAACGAUCAAAAAUUACAUUUGGAAUUGGAGAAAAAAGAAAGAUUAAAAGCCGAGCAGAGUAAAACGUGUAAAAGACCAUACAAGUUGCUGCAUGAAAAAACAAAGUUUGUCGUCUCUUCUUUCGGCUUGUUCCAAAAUAUUGGUAGCUCAUCGAUUGAACGGAAUUAAAUAUUCCAACUGCGUAAAUAUGAGUGGCGAGAAACGACCGAGAAUGAUCAAAUACUGGUUGCAUUUGUGAUAUAUUCGCUGUGUAUAUCCGAGAAAACAGUUCUUUUUUUGUCGUAUUUGUCUUUUAAAUUGUUACAAUGAGAGCUAUUUAUUACUGCACUUACUUCGAUCUUCAUGUUCGAAUUGAAAUUGCCGUUAAGAAUAAUAGACGAUUAUGUCGAGUGGACGAAACAACAAGUGACAAAUGAAUGAAAGAAGAAAAAAAGUCGUGCAAUAUUUUUAAUAACAUCAUAUGUAAGAGGAAACCGACUCGUUUCAUUUCACUUAAUUAAUUUUUUUUUUUAAAGAUUGAUUGUGAAACUUUUAAAUAAAAUGAAAUUACUGAUACCAACA